rnacentral:rRNA from 1 species
CCUACGGGAGGCAGCAGUAAGGAAUAUUGGACAAUGGUCGGAAGACUGAUCCAGCCAUGCCGCGUGAAGGACGAAGGCGCUCAGCGUUGUAAACUUCUUUUGUACGGGAAAAAACCCCCGGUCGUGUACCGGGGUUGAUGGUACCGUAAGAAUAAGCAUCGGCUAACUCCGUGCCAGCAGCCGCGGUAAUA